rnacentral:miRNA from 1 species
GAGACCUGUAAUGCUGAAAUA